UACGUAGGGGGCAAGCGUUGUCCGGAUUUAUUGGGCGUAAAGCGCGUGUAGGCGGCCAGGUAGGUCGGCUGUGAAAACUCGAGGCUCAACCUCGAGACGUCGGCCGAAACCAUCUGGCUAGAGUCCGGGAGAGGAGAGUGGAAUUCCUGGUGUAGCGGUGAAAUGCGCAGAUAUCAGGAAGAACACCCGUGGCGAAAGCGGCUCUCUGGAACGGUACUGACGCUGAGACGCGAAAGCGUGGGGAGCGAACAGG
rnacentral:rRNA from 1 species